CAUUGACCGAACUUCGCUUUCAACAGUAAUGCUCCGAGAAAAUGCUGUACCAUCAGUUUUCCCUACACACCCAAAACAUUUGCAAAAGGAGCUUGUGCAGUAGGUGGUGGUUCCACCUCUGUCAUCACUUCAGCAAGGAAUUUGGAGGUAGCUGACACAGACUGCAUGUACGAACAAGAGUCAAUUUUGCACCUACAACUAAUUGUUCCCCCCGACCAUAUGGAUCUCAUGGGCCCCGAAGUCGUCAUACCUUCACAAUCGCCUGCUUCAGGGCAUGAGAGUGUGCUUAAACGUCGGAGAUUAAGCAUGGAAACAGAUGAGACACGUAAUUUGUCUACUCCAGAGCUGCAAAGGCUGGUGCUAUUGUAUCAAUUGGACAUACUCAAACGAAAGCAGCAGAAAUUGAUACGCGAAGAAGAUAAACAAUAAAACAUUGUGUAGUGUCUUAUUUACAUAACGAAUUUUAUUAAUAAAAACAUCUUUUUAAAGUGAA